rnacentral:tRNA from 1 species
GGGAGUUUGGCCGAGUGGUUUAAGGCGUCAGAUUUAGGUGGAUAGGUGGAUUUAACCUCUAAAAUCUCUGAUAUCUUCGGAUGCAAGGGUUCGAAUCCCUUAGCUCUCA